UACGUAGGGGGCGAGCGUUGUCCGGAAUUAUUGGGCGUAAAGCGCGCGCAGGCGGUUCCUUAAGUCAGAUGUGAAAUCUUGCGGCUCAACCGCAAGCGGCCAUUGGAAACUGGGAGACUUGAGUACAGAAGAGGAGAGCGGAAUUCCACGUGUAGCGGUGAAAUGCGUAGAUAUGUGGAGGAACACCAGUGGCGAAGGCGGCUCUCUGGUCUGUAACUGACGCUGAGGCGCGAAAGCGUGGGGAGCGAACAGG
rnacentral:misc_RNA from 1 species